ensembl:lncRNA
CAUCACAGAGGAGCAAUCGUAAAUGCACGUGUACAGUCUGUGGACACAGUGAAUGGAGCUUUUUAAAUUGAAACAUAGAAGACAAAGGAAGAUCAACCCCUGCAACAUUCUUCAAUAUAAGCAGCAGAGACGGACAACUGCAACUGGCUGGUCAUGAAGAGGAAGAGAAGAUAGAAAAGAGGAGCAGAGAGAGACGAGGACACAACACCAACUAAGAGAAUACAUUUAAUAAAUGAGUUUAAUGACUUGAAAGAGAGAAGAAAAAAUGUGAGCGUAACAUGACUGGACAAGUGCAAUUCUCUGUACUUUGAUUUGGACCAGACCUCUCUUCAUUGUCUCCAGUUGGUCCAAAAUGCAGCUGCUCGCCUGCUAACUGCACUAAAUGGAAGGAGCAUAUUACCAGUUUUUGGCCUCUCUACACUGGCUCCCUGUUCCGUACAGGAUCCAAUUUAAAAUCUUCCCUUUUUUUUUAAAUCGCUUAACGGCCGAGGCCCUUCUUACCUGUCCAGGUCCAGAUCAAAACUAACCUUGACUAUUCCACAGACUAAACUUAAAUCUCAUGGUGACAGAGCCUUCUCUGUGGCAGGUCCCAGACUCUGGAAAAUCCUUCCUCUUAAUAUUUGAUCUGCACAAACGCUUAAACAUUUUAAAUUGUUACUAAAGACACAUUUUUAUGGUCUGGCUUUUAACACAAAUUGAUCAAAACAUUUUGGUUUUAACAGCCUUAGUUGUUGUUUUUGCUGUUUUUAUUGACUUAUUUUAUUUAUUUAUUUGUUUGUUUUUUUAUAUUUUACUUCAUCAUUGUUGUACAUUUUAUUUAUUUUAGUGGCAUUUUACAUUGUUAAGCACUUUGUGCAACAUGGACUGUUUGGAAAUGUGCUAUAUAAAUAAGCCUGACCUGCUGUAAGCCUAAAUAUGAGCUUGAUCAAAAACAAAAGUGUUAAAUUUAAUCUUAAAGCAACUAACGUUUUUUGUCUUCUGAACCCAAACUGGUUCCACAUGAAUAAAGCAUUACAGCUAAGGACUAUACCUCCAAUCUUUUUUAGAAACUCUAGGAACCAUAAACGAAGUAAAGUUAUGCUUCAGCAGGGGAAGUGUAAAGGCAGUCUAUGGGCAGUCAAGGAAUGCCCUCAUGCUAGCCCCCACUGAAUCAGUGCCCAUUGCUGAUAGAGGCAGUGUAUCAAAUAUGUGGUACAACUGGUCUGUGGGGCACUCUCGCUUGUGCUGUUGUUGUUCCACCAACCAGCUUGGGGAGGAGCAAAGUUUAUAACAUACAAAGAGCUGAAGCGAAACCAAGUGGUGUUAAAAACAUCUGUCCACUGCAGCCACUGUCAGUACUUUUCAAAUAGUAUAUCUAUCUCUAACCAGAUUCUUGCUCUGGAUGGUAUUACCUCGGCCUCCAGUAACACUGUGAGGAACCUUGGAGUCAUUUUGACCAGGAUUUGUCCUUCAAUGCACAUAUUAAACAAAUAUGUAGGACUGCUUUCUUCCAUUUGCGCAACAUCUCUAAAAUUAGAAAUAUCCUGCUCGCUCAAAGUGAUGCUGAAAAACUAAUUCAUGCAUUUAUUACUUCCAUGCUCGGCUACUGCAAUUCAUUAUUAUCAGGAUGUCCUAAAAACUCCCUGAAAAGCCUUCAGUUAAUCCAAAAU